GAUGAACGCUGGCGGCGUGCCUAAUACAUGCAAGUCGAGCGAACAGACGAGGCGCUUGCUCCUCUGACGUUAGCGGCGGACGGGUGAGUAACACGUGGAUAACCUACCUAUAAGACUGGGAUACCUUCGGGAAACCGGAGCUAAUACCGGAUAAUAUAUUGAACCUCAUGGUUCAAUAGUGAAAGACGGUUUUGCUGUCACUUAUACAUGGAUCCGCGCCGCAUUAGCUAGUUGGUAAGGUAACGGCUUACCAAGGCAACGAUGCGUAGCCGACCUGAGAGGGUGAUCGGCCACACUGGAACUGAGACACGGUCCAGACUCCUACGGGAGGCAGCAGUAGGGAAUAUUCCGCAAUGGGCGAAAGCCUGACGGAGCAACGCCGCGUGAGUGAUGAAGGUCUUCGGAUCGUAAAACUCCGUUAUUAGGGAAGAACAAAUGUGUAAGUAACUAUGCACGUCUUGACGGUACCUAAUCAGAAAGCCACGGCUAACUACGUG
rnacentral:rRNA from 1 species